CCUCUUGGAUACUGUGGCAUUCUAGAGCUAAUACAUGCAGUGAGCCCGAAGCCCCUCGGGGCGACGGGUGCUUUUAUUAGACCAAGAUCAAUCGGGCCUCGGUCCGUUUUGUGUGGUGACUCUGGAUAACUUUGUGCUGAUCGCACGGCCACGAGCCGGCGACGUUUCUUUCAAGUGUCUGCCUUAUCAACUGUCGAUGGUAGGUUAUGCGCCUACCAUGGUUGUUACGGGUAACGGAGAAUCAGGGUUCGAUUCCGGAGAGGGAGCCUGAGAAACGGCUACCACAUCCAAGGAAGGCAGCAGGCGCGCAAAUUACCCACUCCCGGCACGGGGAGGUAGUGACGAAAAAUAACAAUACGGGACUCUUUUGAGGCCCCGUAAUUGAAAUGAGUACACUCUAAAUCCUUUAACGAGGAUCCAUUGGAGGGCAAGUCUGGUGCCAGCAGCCGCGGUAAUUCCAGCUCCAAUAGCGUAUACUAAAGUUGCUGCGGUUAAAAAGCUCGUAGUUGGAUCUCAGUUACAGGCGGGAAGUGCGUGGACACCACGUUACGGCCCGUGCUGAACAUCAUGCCUGUCGUGGCUUGGUUCCCUUCAUCAGGUGCCUUGCCUUGGCCGGCGCGUUUACUUUGAAAAAAUUAGAGUGCUCAACGCAGGCGAUUCGCCUGAAUAACAGUGCAUGGAAUAAUAGAACAAGAUCCUGUUUCUGUUCUGUUGGUUUUUGGAAUACAGGAUAAUGAUUAAGAGGGACAGACGGGGGCAUCUUAUUGUGUCGCGGGCAAA
rnacentral:rRNA from 1 species